rnacentral:rRNA from 1 species
AUUGAACGCUGGCGGCAGGCCUAACACAUGCAAGUCGAACGGUAGCACAGAGAGCUUGCUCUCGGGUGACGAGUGGCGGACGGGUGAGUAACGUCUGGGAAACUGCCCAAUGGAGGGGGAUAACUACUGGAAACGGUAGCUAAUACCGCAUAACGUCGCAAGACCAAAGUGGGGGACCUUCGGGCCUCACACCAUCGGAUGUGCCCAGACGGGGUUAGGUCGUAGGUGGGGUAAUGGCUCACCUAGGCGACGAUCCCUAGCUGGUCUGAGAGGAUGAACAGCCACACUGGAACUGAGACACGGUCCAGACUCCUACGGGAGGCAGCAGUGGGGAAUAUUGCACAAUGGGCGCAAGACUGAUGAAGCCAUGCCGCGUGUAUGAAGAAGGCCUUCGGGUUGUAAAGUACUUUCAGCGGGGAGGAAGGCGGUGAAGUUAAUAACUUUACCGAUUGACGUUACCCGCAGAAGAAGCACCAGCUAACUCCGUGCCAGCCGCCGCGGUAA